AAUAUGUGACAGGGGCGUCCGCGCAGGCGGGCUGAGAAGCACCCUUCGAACCUGAACCAGAUCAUGCUGGCGUAGGGAGUCGCGGAAACCGUCCA
rnacentral:ncRNA from 2 species